GAUGAACGCUGGCGGCGUGCCUAAUACAUGCAAGUCGAGCGAACGGACGAGAAGCUUGUUUCUCUGAUGUUAGCGGCGGACGGGUGAGUAACACGUGGAUAACCUACCUAUAAGUCUGGGAUAACUUCGGGAAACCGGAGCUAAUACCGGAUAAUAUUUUGAACCGCAUGGUUCAAAAGUGAAAGACGGUCUUGCUGUCACUUAUAGAUGGAUCCGCGCUGCAUUAGCUAGUUGGUAAGGUAACGGCUUACCAAGGCGACGAUGCAUAGCCGACCUGAGAGGGUGAUCGGCCACACUGGAACUGAGACACGGUCCAGACUCCUACGGGAGGCAGCAGUAGGGAAUCUUCCGCAGUGGGCGAAAGCCUGACGGAGCAACGCCGCGUGAGUGAUGAAGGUCUUCGGAUCGUAAAGCUCUGUUAUUAGGGAAGAACAUAUGUGUAAGUAACUGUGCACAUCUUGACGGUACCUAAUCAGAAAGCCACGGCUAACUACGUG
rnacentral:rRNA from 1 species